GGGGGUGUAGCUCAGUUGGUUAGAGCGCCGGCCUGUCACGCCGGAGGUCGCGAGUUCAAGUCUCGUCACUCCCGCCA
rnacentral:tRNA from 6 species